rnacentral:rRNA from 1 species
GACGAACGCUGGCGGCGUGCUUAACACAUGCAAGUCGAACGGGAUCCGGGCUUUCGGGUUUGGUGAGAGUGGCGAACGGGUGAGUAACACGUGAGUAACCUGCCCCCUUCUUUGGGAUAACGUCGGGAAAUCGGCGCUAAUACUGGAUAUUCUUGCUGCAUCGCCUGGUGUGGUUUGGAAAGGGUUUCUGGUGGGGGAUGGGCUCGCGGCCUAUCAGCUUGUUGGUGGGGUGAUGGCCUACCAAGGCUUUGACGGGUAGCCGGACUGAGAGGGUGUCCGGCCACACUGGGACUGAGACACGGCCCAGACUCCUACGGGAGGCAGCAGUGGGGAAUAUUGCACAAUGGGCGCAAGCCUGAUGCAGCGACGCCGCGUGAGGGAUGACGGCCUUCGGGUUGUAAACCUCUUUCAGUAUGGAACAAGGAUCCUUCGUUUGGGGGGUUUGAGGGUACGUGCAGAAGAAGCGCCGGCUAACUACGUG